AGAGUUUGAUCCUGGCUCAGAGUGAUCGCUGGCGGCGUGCUUAACACAUGCAAGUCGAGCGAAUUUCAGCAGCGUAUCGCUGAAGUUAGCGGCAGACGGGUGAGUAAUACUUGGGCAAUCUGCCCUUGAGUGGGAAACAACCUGACGAAAGUCGGGCUAAUGUCCCAUAAGACCACAGGAUGGCAUCAUCCAGGGGUCAAAGCUCCGUAAGGGGCGCUUGAGGAGGAGCCCGAGUCCUAUCAGCUAGUUGGUGAGGUAACGGCUCACCAAGGCUUUGACGGGUAGCCGCCCUGAAAGGGUGAUCGGCCACACUGGCACUGAGACACGGGCCAGACUCCUACGGGAGGCACCAGUGGGGAAUUUUGGACAAUGGGGGCAACCCUGAUCCAGCGACGCCGCGUGAAGGAUGAAGGUCUUCGGAUUGUAAA
rnacentral:rRNA from 1 species